rnacentral:rRNA from 1 species
AGUGAACGCUGGCGGUAGGCCUAACACAUGCAAGUCGGACGGCAGCACAGUAAGAUCUUGCUCUUACGGGUGGCGAGUGGCGGACGGGUGAGGAAUACAUCGGAAUCUACUUUUUCGUGGGGGAUAACGUAGGGAAACUUACGCUAAUACCGCAUACGACCUACGGGUGAAAGCAGGGGAUCUUCGGACCUUGCGCGACUGAAUGAGCCGAUGUCGGAUUAGCUAGUUGGCGGGGUAAAGGCCCACCAAGGCGACGAUCCGUAGCUGGUCUGAGAGGAUGAUCAGCCACACUGGAACUGAGACACGGUCCAGACUCCUACGGGAGGCAGCAGUGGGGAAUAUUGGACAAUGGGCGCAAGCCUGAUCCAGCCAUACCGCGUGAGUGAAGAAGGCCUUCGGGUUGUAAAGCUCUUUUGUUGGGAAAGAAAAGCAGCAGGAUAAUACCCCGCUGUUCUGACGGUACCCAAAGAAUAAGCACCGGCUAACUUCGUG